UGGGGAAUAUUGCACAAUGGGCGCAAGCCUGAUGCAGCCAUGCCGCGUGUAUGAAGAAGGCCUUCGGGUUGUAAAGCACUUUCAGCGGGGAGGAAGGCGAUAAGGUUAAUAACCUUGUCGAUUGACGUUACCCGCAGAAGAAGCACCGGCUAACUACGUGCCAGCAGCCGCGGUAAUACGUAGGGCGCGAGCGUUGUCCGGAAUUAUUGGGCGUAAAGGGCUUGUAGGUGGCUGGUUGCGUCUGUCGUGAAAGCUCAUGGCUUAACUGUGGGCUUGCGGUGGGUACGGGCUGGCUUGAGUGCAGUAGGGGAGGCUGGAAUUCCUGGUGUAGCGGUGGAAUGCGCAGAUAUCAGGAGGAAUACCGGUGGCGAAGGCGGGUCUCUGGGCUGUUACUGACACUGAGGAGCGAAAGCAUGGGGAGCGAACAGG
rnacentral:rRNA from 1 species